rfam:Gossypium arboreum cultivar AKA8401 contig_2392_13, whole genome shotgun sequence.
UGUUAAAAAUUUCAUCUAUUUUCACUUUUAAAAGCUGAUGUAAUUGACAAAAUAACCAGACAACUGUUUCGUGUACCUCAUUAUGAUGUAUAUGAACUAAUUUUUAACAAUAAAAAUAGAUAAAAAUUUUAAUA